GACGUAGGGCGCGAGCGUUGUCCGGAUUUAUUGGGCGUAAAGAGCUCGUAGGCGGCUUGUCGCGUCGUCCGUGAAAACCUGCGGCUCAACUGCAGGCUGGCGGUCGAUACGGGGCGAGGCUGGAGUUCGGUAGGGGAGACUGGAAUUCCUGGUGUAGCGGUGAAAUGCGGCAGAUAUCAGGAGGAACACCGGUGGGCGAAGGCGGGUCUCUGGG
rnacentral:rRNA from 1 species